rnacentral:rRNA from 1 species
UACAGAGGUCUCAAGCGUUGUUCGGAUUCAUUGGGCGUAAAGGGUGCGUAGGCGGCGCGGUAAGUCGGGUGUGAAAUCUCGGAGCUUAACUCCGAAACUGCAUUCGAUACUGCCGUGCUUGAGUACAGACGAGGUAGGCGGAAUUGACGGUGUAGCGGUGAAAUGCUUAGAUAUCGUCAAGAACACCGAUAGCGAAGGCAGCUUACUAGGCUGUAACUGACGCUGAGGCACGAAAGUGUGGGGAUCAAACAGG